rnacentral:rRNA from 1 species
AUUGAACGCUGGCGGCAUGCCUUACACAUGCAAGUCGAACGGUAACGCGGGGCAACCUGGCGACGAGUGGCGAACGGGUGAGUAAUGUAUCGGAACGUGCCCAGUUGUGGGGGAUAACUGCUCGAAAGAGCAGCUAAUACCGUAUACGACCUGAGGGUGAAAGCGGGGGAUCGCAAGACCCCGCGCAAUUGGAGCGGCCGAUAUCAGAUUAGGUAGUUGGUGGGGUAAAGGCCCACCAAGCCAACGAUCUGUAGAUGGGCUGAGAGGACGACCAGCCACACUGGGACUGGGACACGGCCCUGACUCCUACGGGAGGCAGCAGUGGGGAAUUUUGGACAAUGGGCGCAAGCCUGAUCCAGCCAUGCCGCGUGCGGGAAGAAGGCCUUCGGGUUGUAAACCGCUUUUGUCAGGGAAGAAACGCUCUGGGUUAAUACCUCGGGGUAAUGACGGUACCUGAAGAAUAAGCACCGGCUAACUACGUGCCAGCAGCCGCCGUAAAAC